UAGAGAUGGUAGAUCUACAAGUGGUUUCCUAAACAUCAUUUACAAAAAGUGUUGUAAUGUCCAAAGCACAACGUUAUCACAACGUUAAUUUGCAACGUUGUUGUUACGUUGUGGAAUAACGUUACAAUGUAACGUAAUACUAACGUUGUCAUAGAGAUACGCAAUUACGUUCUGAAAAUUCAAAUGCCGAAUAUAAAGACAGGUAAUGCAUUACUGCCUUGGUAUUCUGACAAGUUCAUGUUGAUUUUGAUAAAGCAGUUCUAUUCCUUUAUGACUAUCGAGAAGCAAACUCUAUAACGUUUCACCGACGUUUCAGAAACGUAGUUACAAAACGUUAUAAUAAUGUUGUGACAACGUUAUAUCACGACGUUACCAAUCCACAACCUUUCCACAACGUUGUGACAACGUCGUGUGUUAGCUGGGAGGGCGUUCCACUUUAACCCAAUUUCAUGUACUAAAACAAUGUCAAGCACUGAAACAAUAUCAGCUAGCCUACCAUUCUCCUCGUUGUCAGACAACAGUGAACAACCUUCCAGACCCACUGCCGAGAUCGGGUAUUCUUACAUCAGCAUCGUCAAUGGAUUCCUGUGGCCCGACUCCUGUGAAAUCCCACAUAACUUAUAUUAGAGAAGUGAGGGUUUCUACAGCAAACUGUUUCUGUGCCAUCAGACAGAUCGAGCCAGUGCUAUGGACAUCAAUUUAAAUACAAUGUAUGUACAUCGUGUAAUAAAAUAUUUGCGUUUCAAA